ACAUUUACUGGAGCAGUCCAAGUCUGUCGACCAGCCCGCAGGUAAUACCAUCAAGAUCGCAGCCACGAUGCUCGCUGUUUUGCUGUCGGUUACAGUGGCGCCAACUGCCCAUUUCUACCCGUGCGCGCCUACGAUGAUCCCAAAAGAAAGUCAACUCCACCCGUGCGCAGAGUUAGACUGCACCAAAACAGCGCAUCAUCUUUAUUCACUGUGACUUCACUUCUCCGGGUGUUCCCUUUCUAUCGAUAGUCGGCUUGUCAAAGACAAAUAAAAGACGGGAAACUGAGAUAAGUGCACUUCUUUUUGAACAUGUCAAAUUCUCGAAACAUCAAACAUCAAAAAUGCAACUCGGACAAAAGCGACACAAAGGUUCUGUGAAACAAUUGUUUUUUUUUUUGUUUGUUUUUUUUGCCCGUGUUAUGUAAGCGGCGAGAAAAACGAGGGAGGCGUGUGAAAUGGAGAACAAGCGAGGGAGAGUCAAGUUACAAAAAAAAAAA